rnacentral:rRNA from 1 species
CGGCUCGUAAAGCUCUGUUGUUGGAGAAGAAYGUGCGUGAGAGUAACUGUUCACGCAGUGACGGUAUCCAACCAGAAAGUCACGGCUAACUACGUGCCAGCAGCCGCGGUAAUACGUAGGUGGCAAGCGUUAUCCGGAUUUAUUGGGCGUAAAGCGAGCGCAGGCGGUUGCUUAGGUCUGAUGUGAAAGCCUUCGGCUUAACCGAAGAAGKGCAUCGGAAACCGGGCGACUUGAGUGCAGAAGAGGACAGUGGAACUCCAU